rnacentral:lncRNA from 9 species
CGGGAAAAAGGCGGUGAGAAAAUGCUGAGGGGAGAGGCCUCGACUCAGGAGGUGUGGUCGGGGUGCACCGCUCCCUGAGCUGCUGCAAUGACGUCGUCUCAGGGCAUGUUUAAUGGAAGCUCCACGGUGGAAAAGGUAUUAAUGGCAGGUGAUCCAGAAGCUUUGUGGACCAUUGGCCUAAUUGAAGGCAGUAGCAGAAGAGUUGAGAGAGGACAGAUGUGGGAGAGGACCAGUACAAUUUGAAGGAAGAUGACUUCAAAGAGGUGUCCUGCAGUAAUCACCAAAUCUGUGAACAUGAUGAGAUAUCACGCUUGUGAUUGUUAUGUUAUAUGGCACAGUUGACUUUAAAAGUCAGGCAGUCUGACCUAAUCCCAUGAGCCCCGAAAAGCAGUGAGCUAUGUGUGACUGAAAGGGUACUUAAGGGGAAGCCAGAGAGAUUCAGUGUGUGAGAAGUUGCCCUGCCUUGACUGACCUUCAAGAUGGAGGAGACUCUAUGAGAAGGAUGCAGGCAGACUAGGAACAGAGAGUGGCCCUUGGUUAACAGCCAGCAAGGAAAUGGGGACUCCAAUCUCAAACUAUAAGGAACUGAAUUCUGCUAAGAAUCUGAAUGAGCUUGGAAGUAGAUUCUCUCCCAGAACCUCUAAUAAGAGCCCAUCCUAGCCAACACCUUGAUUUUGAUGUCAUGAGCCCAUGAGCAGAGAACCCAGCUAAAACUCACUUGGACUUCCCCCUAAACUGUGAGAUAAUAGAUAGGUAUUGUUUUAUCUGCUAAAUGUGCAGUAAUCUGUUAUGCAGUGAUAGAAAACUAAUAAAGAUCUUGUGCCAC